UCGAGCGAGAAAUUUAUGGACGAUAUUUCGAUUGAGUUUGUAAAUGGAAAGCGGCGGACGGGUGAGUAACGCGUAGGUAACCUGCCCCAUACAGAGGGAUAGCCACUGGAAACGGUGAUUAAUACCUCAUAAAACUGAGAAUACACAUGUAUACUCAGCCAAAGAUUUAUCGGUAUGGGAUGGACCUGCGUCUGAUUAGUUAGUUGGUGAGGUAACGGCUCACCAAGGCGACGAUCAGUAGCCGACCUGAGAGGGUGAUCGGCCACAUUGGAACUGAGACACGGUCCAAACUCCUACGGGAGGCAGCAGUGGGGAAUAUUGCACAAUGGGCGAAAGCCUGAUGCAGCAACGCCGCGUGAACGAAGAAGGCUCUUGGGUCGUAAAGUUCUGUUCUGAGGGAAGAAGAAAGUGACGGUACCUCAGGAGAAAGCCCCGGCUAACUACGUGCCAGCAGCCGCGGUAAUACGUAGGGGGCAAGCGUUGUCCGGAAUUAUUGGGCGUAAAGAGUACGUAGGCGGUUUGUUAAGCGCAAGGUGAAAGGCAUAGGCUCAACCAAUGUGAGCCUUGCGAACUGGCAGACUUGAGUGCAGGAGAGGAAAGCGGAAUUCCUAGUGUAGCGGUGAAAUGCGUAGAUAUUAGGAGGAACACCGGUGGCGAAGGCGGCUUUCUGGACUGAAACUGACGCUGAGGUACGAAAGCGUGGG
rnacentral:rRNA from 1 species